CAUUCCUUUUUUUCAUAAAUGUGGCAAAGCUUCAGGGUCAUGAAAUCCUGCAAUGACGGUUAUAUACACAACACACAUACAUAUAAUAAUGUUAAUACACACUUAAUAUAGGACUCUUAAGCUUUUUAAGCUUUUUUAACGGGCAGCCUCAGAUUUGAGCCUGCCAACCAGCACCCUGUAAGAAGUCAGAAGGGCUACACCCUCAUGUUAUGAAUAUGGAAGUGACACAGCCUGAGGCUACAAAUGACAGAAUCAGGAUUGUCAAAACCCUGUUUUUCUGACUUUUGAUUCAGUAUUCUUUCUGUGACUACAUUCUAGCUUGUCAAAGUCUUUGCUAUAUCUAGACAAUGGCUCUUGAUCAAAGAAAAUACUUCUUUGCCCAGAAAGCAGUAGAGUUUUCAAAGGGAUCAGAAAUACAUGAGGUACAAGUUAACUUUUGCUGACAUACUUUAAAAGAGAUUCAUCAUGGUUUCAUUUGACUGUGAAAGGCAUAUAUUUUUCUCAUAUGCCCAGAGACAUUUCUCACUUUAAGCAAAAUUCUAAAUUUAACUCCAUUUUUUCUCUGUAGUUUCAUGCCACUGCAACAGGCUUUUGUUGAGAGCAAAAUAAUAGGACUCGUCUCGUGUGCCUGUCUUGUCUGGAGACCAGCACCAGAAAUUUAUCGCCAAUAAAAGUUCAACACCAUUCAAGGUAACUAUUUACUUCUACUUGGACAAAGGGUCACGUUAAAAAUGGUCUCCAUGCAAACAGAUACAAGAUAACAAAAAAAAUCUUCAGAAUCCAGAGGUUAUGUUUCCAAAAGACUGAAUAAAGAACUUUCUGAACUCUUCUAAACCAUGACGAUUUAGUAUAUCAUCAGAGAUAGGUUACAAUAAUCCCAAGCUACAGCAAUAGGCACCUGGCUUGAAAUAAGGCCUGUUACUAAAAUAACUGUAGCCUAAUUGUUCUUUAAGCUGUGUAAACCAAUUUAGGCACUACCGAGAUCCUAUCCUUCCGGGGGUGGUUAUCCAGAUUAUUCAAAGUGAGAGAUAAAAUGUCAGUUCCAGAAAGGCUUGAUCUUACCUACUGGCCAUAAAAUUGAAUGCUACCUGCUCUUGACAAGACGUAGUACCUGCCCACUGGGGCGACCAAGUGGUCGAGACUCUAAAUCUCUGGGAAGAUAGUUAAUACAUAUUGCAUACAAUUCAGAAAAAAGUACACCCAUGUUCCCUUUAUUAAAACAUCUCAGUCCACUUUCCCUGAGGCCCAUGACUUAUGUGACUGCUUUCUAAGCAGAGUGGACUACACUGUGCAUGGGUGGUUUCUAGCCCAGUUUCCUCACCUUGGCCCUGCUGCCCCAGGAAGCCAGAUAACCUUCGCUGUGGGGACUACUGUGUGCUGCACGAGCUUUAGUGGCCCCCUGGCCUCUAGUCACUAAAUGCCAGUAGCAACACCCUAUAUUCCCCUAGUUGUGACAAACAACAGUGUCCAAUAUUGCCAACUGUCCUGUGUCUGGGGGGAAGGGGGAAGGCAGCAAAAUUGCCCCUAGUUUAGAACCACUAUUCCUGCCAAAUUGUACCACACAAUUAUGCCACAAUCCAGUCUUGUUGCCUAAUUGCCUUAUGGGUUCCCCAACCACUCUAUAAAUUCCCCAAAAGCAAGACUAUUAAUCUUACAAGUAUACCUACCCUAGCAAAUAAUCAGAUAUGUACAACUCUUCUGAAAGUGUGAUCCUGCUGGCUAAAUAAGCCCAGAGGCCUGUCCUGUGCCUCUUAGCUACAAUGGCACAAGAACUGGCAGGAAGGGGUCCUCCACAAGUAAGGCCAACGCUGUAGUGAUGUGAUUUCACACAACAGUUGAGAUACCUUCCCAAGGCUCUCUGGCCAUGACAGAUUUACAGUAUACCAGCACAAUCUGAGCUUGGCUCAUAGUUCCAGAACCUCGCCCGCAGAUGAGGGAGGGACUGCACAUUCUCUUUUUGUUGGCAACCUGUCCCAGCCUCUCCUGGGCCUCCCACCACACUCCAGAGCCACACCCAGAGGGUGGGUACUCACACCACUGCCUGGUGCAUAACCAGGGAUUUCCAAACCCUUAAUGAAAACCACAUGAUCAGUUGGGCAGUAUUUGAAACCAAGAAUGAGACCAUGUGUCAUAGUUCAGUGAAGGCUCCUGAGAGCAUGUGUGUUAAGCAAGAGAACCAAAUAAUAAAUAUUCUAGCCUCCUUGAUACUAUGCCCAAGGGAACCGAUGUCUUAUGUGCAAUAUAAUCCCAGCAAACCCUAAGGCACUUUCAGGAAAAGAAGUCACUGUGUCACACUCCAGCUGUUCUCAAAGCAUGUGUCUCUCCUGAAAGGCACACAGCUUUCUGCCACUGCCCCUCCUCUCUCUUUAAAAGAACAAGAUGGGUCAAGCAAGUCAACUCCCACAGUUGAAUCCCCAUAUCCAGCAAGGAGCAACAGAUGCCUCUUAUAAGGUCCAGGGAAUGCGAUGAAAAAAGCAGCUUCUUGCAACAGAGAUGGUUGGAACUUAAAAAUUCGCCGGAAAGGGCUUGCAUAAGAACCACCCCUUCCCACCUUUAAGCAGGGAACUGAGGUGCUCUGUGAUGCUGUCACUUACAGGAUUUUUAUAAGUCAGUUCCGAUAAGGAUUUUGGCUUCAACCUCUGGUAGUAUAAACAAGUGUCACCUUGGUUUUUGCUGCAUUAUAUACAGCCAGUUCCCUUCUAAGCAGGGUCUUGCUUAAUUUGUCCUGAACCUGGUAGAGAGAGGCUAAGCACACACAGGAGGGUAAUGGUGACUGGGGCACACUCAAUCCUUUGCAGAACACCGGGCAUGUAGGAAGCAGGUCUGGCAGCAGACUUUGGUACAGGUACCAUACUAGAGCAACAUGCAAAAGCAGGACAAUGAGAAGAUGUGGCCUCCAGGGCCACCAGGGCCACCGCGGCCAUACAUUAGCUAUGUGAUCUUAAGUAGCUAAAUUCUUGAUUAUCAGUUUCCUCCAAAAAGGAAAUAAAAUACAGGAGAUAAGUCUCCUGCCUUGUGGGUGGCUUUCACGAUGAAAUAAUAAAUGUAUUAUAUAAAUAUUG